rnacentral:tRNA from 1 species
AAGGUUCUAGCUUAAUUAAAGCAUUUGAGNNNCAUUCAAAGGAUGCAGGUUAGUGUCCUGCGAAUCUUA